CCUACGGGAGGCAGCAGUGGGGGAUAUUGCACAAUGGGGGAAACCCUGAUGCAGCAACGCCGCGUGUGGGAAGAAGGUUCUCGGAUUGUAAACCACUGUUCUUGGUGAAGAAAAUGACGGUAACCAAGGAGAAAGCCCCGGCUAACUACGUGCCAGCAGCCGCGGUAAUACGUAGGGAGCAAGCGUUGUCCGGAUUUACUGGGUGUAAAGGGUGUGUAGGCGGUCUUGCAAGUCAGACGUGAAAACCACGGGCUCAACCUGGGGACUGCGUUUGAAACUGUGGGGCUUGAGGGAAGUAGAGGUAGGCGGAAUUCCCGGUGUAGCGGUGAAAUGCGUAGAGAUCGGGAGGAACACCAGUGGCGAAGGCGGCCUACUGGGCUUUAACUGACGCUGAGGCACGAAAGCGUGGGGAGCAAACAGGAUUAGAUACCCUAGUAGUC
rnacentral:rRNA from 1 species